rnacentral:rRNA from 1 species
AGCUCCAGUAGCGUAUAUUAAAGUUGUUGCAGUUAAAAAGCUCGUAGUUGGAUUUCUGGUUUGGCGAGCCUGACCCGCUGCUAUUUGCAGUGUGUGUCGGUCGUUUGCCUACCAUCCUUCCAGAGAACUUUGCCUCCCCUUCAUUGGGACGGGCUAGCGAUCUGGAACUUUUACUUUGAAAAAAUUAGAGUGUUCAAAGCAGGCUUUGCGCUAUGAAUACAUUAGCAUGGAAUAAUAAUUUAGGACUACGGUUCUAUUUUGUUGGUUUCUAGAACUGAAGUAAUGAUUGAUAGGGAUAGUUGGGGGUGCUAGUAUUCAGCGGCCAGAGGUGAAAUUCUUGGAUUCGCUGAAGACUAACUUAUGCGAAAGCAUUCACCAAGGAUGUCUUCUUUA